GACGCCCACGAGAAAGGGGUACCCCCGGCCUUUCCCCGGGAAGGCUCCCACGAGUGCAGACGUCGGGGAGGAAACCCUCACUCGUUCUAUCUCGCACUCGUGAACGACUGGCGUCGGCGACUGGAAGACCUCCUCCGUCAAUCGCUCCGGUCUCCUCCGUCCACCGCUCCUGCCUCCUCCGUCCGGCGGCUGCGAUGCCCCCUGCCCUCCUCCCUUCGACGCUCUGCCCCUCCAGAUGGGGCGUCGGGACCGGGGUCGCCAUCCUACUACUUCCCGGAUCUCGUCUCCGCCCCCAAGAUCUUCACCUUCCGAUGACGACGACGACCAGGAGAUCAUGCUCCUCUUUGUCCAAGGUUAUCCUCUCCUCUUCCUCUUCCACCCACCAUUUUUUCCUUCCCUGCUACACGCACUAAUGAGCGCCUGUAUAGAUCCAAGAGCCUCCUCUCCUGUUUGAGUUUUGUAUCACAAGAACCAAUACCGAAGAACACCCAUCGUUUGCAGUAGUGUUUCUACCUAACUAUCCUGACCUCACAAGUGAGCACAACCACAUCUACCUCCUUGUGAUGCUAAUAUACACACAAUGUUCUACUACCUCCGUCUAGGUGAAUAAGUCAUUCGCGUAGUUCUAGGUCAUCGAUUUGAGGAAUUAAAUAUGUGUUAUAUGUCAUGAAAAGUAUAUCGCUAGAUUUCUACACGAAUGUAGUUUCUAAAUAUAUAUUUUUGUCACAUAUAAUACAUAUUUAGAUAGUUAAAUCGUUGACCUAGAACUACGCGAAUGACUUAUUCACCGAGACGGAGGUAGUAGUAUAUUUCUAAAGGGGACUACUCUGCCUGUACUAGCUUUGUCCUAAUUUUAACUUAGAAUCUUUAGGAUAACCUGAAGUAUGCUUGUCUUGCUUAUACUAACGGCGUAGCAUAAACGUACCAGUUAUUGGAAUUCAAUUGCGUUGAUGAAAGUAGCAUUAGUAUCAUGGUAACUGUUCAGUUUAAAAUUACUCUCAUUCAAGUUCUUCCCUUUUGUACCAAGAUAUGGAACCAAGGUUUGAGCAUAUGUAAUCUUGAUAAUUGGCCUUCGGUUUAAACUCUAUGGACCCAAGGGGACAUUCACUCCAUUAUCUCUGUCCAUUUUACACUUUUUGCGUACGCCAUGGAGUUGAUCUAUUGUUGUCUUAACUUCAAGCUUUAUUUGUAAAAAGUAUGUUAGUGGCAAACUAAUUAAAAGAUGAAACCAUGUGCUAUUAAGAUUUUGAGUUUUCCUGCAGAUUAUUCAAAGAGAGAACAACAUCUUAUUAUGUUUGGAUCUGUUUGUUUGCGAAAGAUGCAUAUAAAUAAGAAUAUGUGCUUAUAUAUAUUUUGACUUCUGAAUUGAUAUUAUCUUUUUGUAAAGAAUUUUGACUUAUGAUGUGAUUGCAGCAAAGCCAAUUGAUAGUAUUAUCGAUGCAGUGCUGUUAAGUCAUCAAUUACUAAUUUACCAUUAGAAAAUGGCCUUUACUGAUUGAAGGAAAAAAUUGCUACCAAGGAGAAAACAUAAGGUAUGUAAUUUUGAAGUACCAAUUUAGAGGUGCAGUUUUGUGUUUACUUCCAUUGGGCAUUUUACAAUUUGUUCAUGAAUUUGCACAUGCUAACUCAUAAGCAGAGGAAUAUCUUGUGGAGAAAACAGAGGGUGUAUACAAAUGAGUUCAUGCUCUUGUCAGUUUUUCGUUGGGGAAUUAUCUUGUGUUUUUGUGUGAAUGCAUCUCUACAGCUUUAGCUCCUUAUGUCCACCAUGUCGGUGCUGGCGGCAUUGAACAUGUCGACGAUGGGGGCAGUGCCAUCCUUGACGAUUCAGUUUAGGAUCCCCCACUUGGCGGCGUCCUUGGUGCUGUAGCUCUCUUUCGGGUUCAGCCCGCAGCCGAUGGAGACGACCAUGAACUUGCCGUAUGUUGGAAUAAACCCAAGUCUGCACCUAGUAUAUUUCUCUGCCAUGGUUCCUAAAGCUAGCCAAUGAAAAUGUUCAAAGAAGUUGAUCUUGGAAGUUUCAGUAGUGACUAUCCCAGCAGCAACACAUUUUGGCAUGGAUGAUUUACACAGAUACAUGUUGAUAAUGGAACCAAAUGAUUAUUCUUGCUGGAUUUCUACCUUAGUUAACAUUUCUGCUGUUAAACCAUGAUUAGCACACUAAAUUUAUUCGCAGUGCCGCUAUUUGUGCAACUGAACAUGUAUAACUUAUGGUCAGCGUGUUGAUGUGCAUUGAAGUGUUUUUUUUACUGAUUA